rnacentral:rRNA from 1 species
GACGAACGCUGGCGGCGUGCUUAACACAUGCAAGUCGAACGGAAAGGCCCUGCUUUUGUGGGGUGCUCGAGUGGCGAACGGGUGAGUAAAACGUGAGUAAACUGUCCCUGAAUUUGGGAUAACUUCAGGAAACUCGGGCUCAUAUCGGAUAGGAGCUCUUGCUGCAUGGUGGGGGUUGGAAAGUUUCGGCGGUUGGGGAUGGACUCGCGGGUUAUCAGCCUGUUGGUGGGGUAGUGGCUUACCAAGGCUUUGACGGGUAGCCGGCCUGGGAGGGUGGCCGGCCACAUUGGGACUGAGAGACGGCCCAGUCGCCUACGUGAAGCAGGAGUCGGGAAUAUGGCACAAUGAGCCGAAGCCUGAUACAACAGCGCCGCGUUCGUGAUGACGGCCUUCGAGUGGUAAACCGCUUUCGCCGUUGACGAAGCGGGAGUGACGGUAAUGAGUAAAGAAGCACCGGCUAACUACGUG